GACUUCUUGCCGUAAUCAACAGAGAGUCGCUCCAUCAACAGGGAGGUGAAUCCAGAGCCAGUGCCACCUCCAAAACUACGAAACACCAGGAAUCCCUGGAGGCCUGUGCACUGGUCAGCCUGUGGAAAGAGACAACAGGUCCAUCAAUGUUGUGUAACACAAGAAGCCAAGGGUAAGACCUGAGGACUUAAGACCUGAGAGAUGCCCCAGGUAGUAAGUGCUACUGAACCUGCACAGGAUUCUGUGGUGACUGGAUAACUCUGGAAAUGCCUCCCUGUGGUAUAAAUGUCCUUUGAGUGACCUCAGAGAUCACUAGAUAACACAGACCAUGCUGAUGCAGACAGUCCAUGAGAGUGAGAGAGUAAUUGGUAGCACUGAGGCAUCAAAAUUUGAGCCCCAGAAGUUAAUUGGAAUGAAAAGGA